GCCUCGAUGGCUCAGUCUGGCUAGAGCGGUCCCCUUGUAAGGGACAGACCGAGGGUUCAAAUCCCUCUCGGGGCU
rnacentral:tRNA from 2 species